ACGCUGGCGGCAGGCUUAACACAUGCAAGUCGAACGGUAACAGGGGUUAGCUUGCUAAUCUGCUGACGAGUGGCGGACGGGUGAGUAAUGCUUGGGAAUCUGGCUUAUGGAGGGGGAUAACUACGGGAAACUGUAGCUAAUACCGCGUAAAAUCUUCGGAUUAAAGGGUGGGACUUUCGAGCCACCUGCCAUAAGAUGAGCCCAAGUGGGAUUAGGUAGUUGGUUAGGUAAAGGCUGACCAAGCCGACGAUCUCUAGCUGGUCUGAGAGGAUGACCAGCCACACUGGAACUGAGACACAGUCCAGACUCCUACGGGAGGCAGCAGUGGGGAAUAUUGCACAAUGGGGGGAACCCUGAUGCAGCCAUGCCGCGUGAAUGAAGAAGGCCUUCGGGUUGUAAAGUUCUUUCGGUGACGAGGAAGGUUGGUAGGUUAAUAGCCUAUCAAAUUGACGUUAAUCACAGAAGAAGCACCGGCUAACUCCGUGCCAGCAGCCGCGGUAAUACGGGGGGUGCGAGCGUUAAUCGGAAUAACUGGGCGUAAAGGGCACGCAGGCGGUGACUUAAGUGAGAUGUGAAAGCCCCGAGCUUAACUUGGGAAUUGCAUUUCAUACUGGGUCGCUAGAGUACUUUAGGGAGGGGUAGAAUUCCACGUGUAGCGGUGAAAUGCGUAGAGAUGUGGAGGAAUACCGAAGGCGAAGGCAGCCCCUUGGGAAUGUACUGACGCUCAUGUGCGAAAGCGUGGGGAGCAAACAGGAUUAGAUACCCUGGUAGUCCACGCUGUAAACGAUGUCGAUUUGGGGAUUGGGCUUUGAGCUUGGUGCCCGUAGCUAACGUGAUAAAUCGACCGCCUGGGGAGUACGGCCGCAAGGUUAAAACUCAAAUGAAUUGACGGGGGCCCGCACAAGCGG
rnacentral:rRNA from 1 species